UAUUCGAAACACGGCAUUUUUGAUGGCGCAUGUGUUUCGUUGUGAUUUUCUAUUUCUCUCUAAGACGAUGGUGCUUGAUUUUUGGACAAACGAGUCGUUGUUGGGUGUGGUUCUUUGUUGAGACUAGUCAUUGGAGCUGUUACAAAAAGUGUAUGGUGUAAAAUUGCCUAUGAAGGCGAUCACAAAUAUAUGUUUUGGAUACGACCAUAUUUUUGGUGAAAUUUUUCCUACCAAUUGGUGAUGGCUGUGGUAAGAUUCUUAAGGAAGUGCUGAGAAUCUUUUGCUAAUAGUGAAUAGGAAAAGCCGAAUUAUUUUCGGAUAAAUUUGCUCCAAACCGGACCAGUUAAAAAAAGGAAGAGAGAUAAAACUGAGUGGAGAAAUUAAUUUUAACACUGUGUUUGAAAGAAAACAGGGUUUUAGUAUGGGACGUUUUAGUACGGGACGUUUUAGUACGUGACGUUUUUUUGAAGUCACACGCUUUCAACAGAGAGGCCAUUUGAGCGUCAUGGCAUGUCAGGGAAUGGACUGAUGGACCCGAUGGUAGAAUCAUAAGCCCCUACAUAAUCCGUUGUAGAUAUGGUAAUCUGUGGAGAAGAUUCAGAAUUAAGGUAAGCACUCAAACGUACUCUGAUGAUGGUUGGAAUAAAGUAAGAAUAUUAUACAGAGUGGGCCAAAGAACACAGUAUACCUCGAUAUUUGGCAGUAUUUAUUAGAUUUUAAGGAAAUGAUGAAACAGGUCGAUUUUUGAUCUAAGGGGACACGUUUUUACGGUAUUUGUCAUUUGUCAACCCCCUCCCUUCCACAUACCACAUCCCUUAUUUUUAAAUAGGGAAUAGGGGUCGUGUGCUAGCUCAUUUGAAAGGUUACUCAAUUUUCUAUUCAAUAAUAUUAACAUUGUCAUAAUUAUUUAUACAAGCUGUCCAAGAAAAAUUAUUUUGAAUUAAAUUAAUUGACACAAAAAGAAAAAUGUAUGUAAUUUAUUUAACUCAGAAUACAUUCUACUGCUGACAGAAAACAGAAAAAAUGUUUAUUUGAUAAAUAAACAUUGUUUGUUGUUUAAAUUCAAUAUUCAACGUACAGCUGGUUCCUAAAAAAACUGAUACGACUCUUAGGAAGAUUUGAUCGUUUUGAGCAAUGUAUUUGAUUGGUUUGACAUUAUUAUUAUAUUUAUUAUGACAGACAAAUAAUAAAAUAAACAAACAACUGAUUGUAAACAUUGAGGCGUUUUACAUGUCUGCUCAAAUGGGGACAAGGAAAGACUAUCUACCAAGAUACUGGGGGGUCAGAAUGGGGCUAGUAGAAGGAACAGACACGUAAACCUUCAUGCGAACGACAGCUCAUUUUUUGUGCGGUGGCAGGUCGUAGAUUCGUUGGGAGGGGUAGGAGGGUUUAAAGAAGACUAACUACAUAACCAAAUAAGCAAAGGAUACUUACACAGACUUGAGGACUUUCCUACUAUUUAAACAAAUUGGGACGCCGUUUGAAAAAUCCUCAAAUUCUCAUAUCGAGUACUUACUGGAGAGCAACUGGGGGACAUUCAUCGUAGAUUCCUCGUUGGGGUUAUACUGGGCUACAAAUUAUCAUCAUAUGGCUUCUAUGCCAUAUCUUUUUCUUCUGUUCUAAAACUUAAUUCGCUUGUAUUAGCUGUCUGUUAACAAUUUAAAAAAAAAAAAAAGGUUACAGAAAUAAAGAUGUGUACAUUUUAUAAUGUUUAUUUAAACCUUUAUACCUUAUUUAUUUUUAUUUUGAGAAUAAACAUUCUCAAACAAGAAAUGAACAAUAAAAACAAAUAUAUGGUUUUACAAUUCUUAACCUUAUUUUUAGCAGUGUACCAAAACAAAAAUUUGAUAUGGCUGUCAAAAGUCACUGCCAUUUUAUAUUUACUUUACAUAAAAAUUUCCGUGAAUCCAUGUUGAAAACAAAUUAUUUAAAUAUGUAAAACCUUUACCAUUAAUAUCCACUUGUGAAUUUAUUUAAAAUAAACAUUAUUCAUACCUCGUUAAAACAAAAUCCUUGUCACAUGUCACACUUGGAACUUCAAAAUUUUCCAUUCGAGAUUGGGGGGAGGGAAGACAUUCAAAUCAUUACAAAACUGGAACUUACGGGAAUUCUUACUGGAACAUGAACAAAUCCAUAAUAUCAUCAUAAAAAUAGCAACAGCUACACAAAGGACAGGAAUGUUACCAUAACAUCAUAAAAACAGGAAACCACGCACUUCUUUACCGGCAAAGUAAACUGCGUAACAAUAAAACUGUUUCACAAUAAUAUAUCCAUUAAAAUGCUGUGAAACUAUUGUCAUUAUAUUCCUUGACAAGUUAAAAAUCCUUUAGUUCUUCUACCAUAAGAAGAAAAACAUUUUAAGGCCGGAAAAGUGCGACUUUCUGCGAGUCUGUUAGUUGAGUUCCAUACUAAAAGAUGUUUAAUCUUCGAACAUGUUUUUGGAACUGCCUUGCAUCGUCACGUCUCUCUCGCGUCCAACGGAUGCAUUUCUUCUCGAUCUUUCGACCAAAACUAUUGACCAAUCAUCAACUACAACUCAAGGAUCUUUCAAAAUUCAGACCAAUAAUAUCAUAGGGUUUUUAGCGCUCAAAACUUGAGGGAAAUAUACUGGGAUUUUUCUGGAUUUUUCAACGGAUCCUUCCAGAACAAUAAAUGUUUAUACAAGUAAACAGGAAAUUUCCUAACCUUUACAAUGUGGUGAAAUAUUUUGAAAUAUUCCGAACAGGAGCGGCUUAGGAAAUUUUAAAGAUAUUUAAACUCACAAAAUAAUUUAGAAAAAUAGAUAUUUUUCUUGUGAUAGGAUUAAAAUUAAUGGAUAUUUUUUAUAAAACAUUGUAGUAGAAAUCCAUCUGCUACAACAUAAUUUUAAUUCAUAAAUUGUAAUGAUUAUUAAGGUCUAAAUUUUGAUAUUAUUUUAAAUUCUUGCAGUUUUCGCAUCUUCAAAAGGAUUCUCUUCUCUCUCCAAAAUCGUACGAUCUUCAUGAGCGUUAGAUAUUUUUGGUCUUCCAGAACCUUGCUUUCUUUCGAGAGUUUCUUGUUCUCUCCAUCUUUUAUUGAUAUUAAAAACUGUUGUUGUGCUUACGUUAAAAUGGUUCUUUACGGCAGAUGGUGACCAACCAUCUUCUAAUUUCGUUACGAUUCUUGCUUUUAGUUCUUUGCUAACAUGUGGAGCCAUUUUUGAGUUUGAACAGAAUAAGUUAUGAAACAAAUUUUAAGAUUUGGCAGUGACAGUGACAGUAUGUGAAUAAUAAGUAUUUAUCCUUUAAAAUACACUGCUCAAUUUUCUACAAAAUACGCUGUAAGAGUCGUAUCAGUGUUUUUAGAAACCAGCUGUACCAAGAGACAUUGAAAUUAAGCAAAAAGCAAUGUUUAAUCAAAAAACAUUUUUUUCUGUUUUGUGACAGCAGUAGAAUGUAUUUUGAGUUAAAUAAAUUACAUGCAUUCUUUUUUUUUUUUUUUUUUAUUAAUGGCUUUGACAGAGCCAAUUAGCCAGACUAUUUGUGUUUUUUUGUAUGGUAUUACAAUAACAAUUUUAAGUUAAUAUCUAAGCCUACUUAUUAUCUAAAUUUACAGAGUGUUAUACUAUCUUAAUGGAUACAUUUUUCAAUUUUGUGUGAUAUCUUUACAAUUUUAUAAUUUUAUUAUCUAAGCCUAUUUAAAAUUUAAAUUUACAGGACGUUACAUAUUCGUAAAGACAUUGUAACGUCUGCUUAUUUUUUGGAAAAAGAAUUUCGUUUAAAUUGACAGGUAAAGGACAAUUUAGAUCAAUUAACUUUUCAUACAUUACUUUAAUAUUUUGUCUGUACAGUCCACACUCCAAUAUGAGGUGCUGUAGAUCUCCCAAUCCACCACAGGCGCAAUAUGGGUUAUCACUGAUACCUAUGCUGUGUUUGUAGGCUGGGGUUAGUGCGUGAUUUGACCUCAUUCUGUUUAUUGUUUUUAUAAAUAGCCUAUUUGAUUCUUGUUUAAACCAUCUCUCAUUGGGAAUUAGUGGCUGGCAAUUUCUAAAAUUUAUUCCCGUUGUACUUUGGUUAUAUACACGUUGCCAAUUUUGUUUGCAAUGGUUUUUACUGAUAUUAUCUAUAUCGGUUACUGGUAGAAGUAUGUUGCUUAUGUUUUGUUUGGUAAAAGCUGCAGAUUUAGCUAAUUUGUCGACUUCUUCAUUUCCUAAUAUUCCAGAAUGUCCUUUCACCUAACAAAUAAUAAUUGAACUGCCCGAGGAAGUAAAAUCAUAAUAUUGACUCUUAAUUUCUAUCUCAAUGUGGUUUAGAUUUUUUGUCGAUUGGAUAGAAGUGAGUUUGUCCACAAUACUUCUACAAUCGGUGAAAAUGAUAUAAUUGUCCAUACCAACAGAGGCUAUAUAUAUUUUAACGCAAGUAAUAAAGCUGAUAAUUCGGCAGUAUAUAUUGAAGUUGUUUGUGUCAAUCGUCAUGCAUUCUUCUUUUUGUGUCAAUUAAUUUAAUUCAAAAUAAUUUUUCUUGGACACCCUGUAUAAAUAAUUAUGUCAAUGUUAAUAUUACUGAAUAGAGAAAUAAAUAACCUUUCAAAUGAGCUAGCACACAACCCCUAUUCCCUAUUUAAAAAUAAGGGGUGGGGGAAGUGGAAGGGAGGGGGUUGACAAAUGCUAGAUGUAUGUACCGUAAAAAUGUGUCCCCUUUAAAUCAAAAAUCGACCUGUUUCGUCAUUUCCUUUAAUAAAUACUGUCAAAAAUCGAGGUGGACUGUUUUCUUUGGCCCACUCUGUAUUCUAAAUAUUAUAGCAGAUAUUGUGAGAUCCAUUAUAAAUAGCAUAUACAUUUUUGGGAUUAGAUUAGAAAGCAUUUUUAUCCAGUUUUUUUGCUUUAACUAAUGGAUACACAGCUGGAUUAGUUC